rnacentral:rRNA from 1 species
GACGAACGCUGGCGGCGUGCCUAAUACAUGCAAGUCGAACGAAGCUGUUUUAACUGGUGCUUGCACCGACUUAAACAACUGAGUGGCGAACGGGUGAGUAACACGUGGGUAACCUGCCCCAAAGCGGGGGAUAACAUUUGGAAACAGAUGCUAAUACCGCAUAACCACAGAAACCACAUGGUUUCUGUGUCAAAGAUGGUUUCGGCUAUCACUUUGGGAUGGACCCGCGGCGUAUUAGCUAGUUGGUAAGGUAAUGGCUUACCAAGGCAAUGAUACGUAGCCGAACUGAGAGGGUGAUCGGCCACAUUGGGACUGAGACACGGCACAAACUCCUCCGGGAGGCAGCAGUAGGGAAUCUUCCACAAUGGACGAAAGUCUGAUGGAGCAACGCCGCGUGAGUGAAGAAGGUUUUCGGAUCGUAAAACUCUGUUGUCAGAGAAGAACGUGUGCGAGAGUAACUGCUCGUGCAGUGACGGUAUCUGGCCAGAAAGCCACGGCUAACUACGUGCCAGCCGCCGCCGUAA